UCAAAUAACAAAUGUCAAUGUCAAUGGAUCGUUAUCGUUGUGAGUCGUAGAGAUUAUUGUUUUGUUUACAGUAUUCUUGCAAAACAAUAAAAAAUGUCUGAUGACUUUAUACCGUUAAAUCAAAGCACGCCUGUUCAAGGAAGAUGGCAGCAAGGAAACCAAUACUCGAUGAAUUACCAACCAAAUCGAUUUCCGAAUAAUAGUGGCUCUUGGACUCCCAAGCGUGGUGGUCAUAGCAAUCGUGGCAAUAAAUCACGAAACAACAGUUAUGGAAAUGACAGCAAUAAAAGCUUUGGAGGUGACAUGAAGCCUAAAAUCGACAUGUAUAUACACCCAUCAAUGCUCCAGGACCCAUGGGCUAAGUUGCAACAAAACCGAACCCAUUGAACAUUGUUUAAAUACCUGACUCUAAUAUGUUGGAAUAGUAGGUCAGAAAAUUUCACUUUUGGAAACAUACAGGACAAUUAGACAUUAUGAUAUGUCACUAACUAUAUUCUUACUAUUAUAACCACUUAAUUUUCAUGAUCAUUAGUAAAAUUUUAGAAUUUGAUUAUCUGAAAGUUCAGUGAAUUGAAAAAUAGAAUAUAUAAGAAGAUCAUAGUAUAUUAUCUAAUUUGUAUAUUAUAUGUUUAUACUUUUCAAAUGAUAUGUGUCUAUAUUAAAACUAGUAAUUAUGCUAAGUUAUUUUUGUUAGCAUUAUUUUAGUAUUUUAUUUGCAAUAACAGUUCAUGAAGUUCCUUUAAAAUAUUAAUGGUUUAGAUGCAGUGAUGUGCAGAUAGAAUGAACUAGUUGUUUUUGAGCUAGUAACUGACUGUAUAUCCAAUGUAAAAUAUAUUUAUUGUUUUUACAUUAAUUCUCUUAAUUCUUUGGUUUUAUUUAACCAUUACUCUAUUCCAUUGAAGAGCAUCUAAUGCUAUCUUGAUAAUUAUAUUUACUAAUUUAAAGUCUGAUUGUUUAAAAUAUUUUGUAAAUACUUCAUUUAUAAGAAAAGAUUUGGUCCUAAUGUUUAUAAUUUGUAUUAAAAAAUGUACUUUGUUUAUUUCAAAAUGUUCAUUUAGAAAUAGAAGAAAUGUUAAAUAUGUUGGUACAAUCAAUCACCAAAUUGGAUGAACAAAUUAACAAAUUUCAAAUCACCUUUAUUCUUUUGUCUCCUAAUUUACACUCAAUUAUUCUUGACUUAAAAAUAACUAUAAGGGCUUACUUUAUUUUAUAUAAAGGAAAAAGUGUAUUUCAAUUGAAUUUAAUAUGCAGAAGCAUUUUGAAGUUUUGAAUUUGUUCAGCUUCUUUUGUGGCUGUUUGUUCUUACAUGCAUAUUGUAAAUAGCUAUAUUAGGUAAAGAUAGGUUUAAUAUGUCACUGGCAAAACAACACAAAGUCCAAUUUUUUCUUGUUAAAUUUUUUGUGAAAAAAUUAUCAAAAUAUAGUUUUUCUUAUUUUACUUAUUUUGACCUAGUCUGUAUGUGUAAUUCUGUGACAAUUGUAACAAUUUAUAGUAGUUACUAUCUUGCGUAAGGACUGCCCUUGGCAAGAAAUAAGAAAUUAUUUUAAGUUUGGGUAGAUAUUUACAUUGCUGGCACCGAGCCCUUAUUACACUUUAUCUAGUAAUCUUUAAAAACUAUAUAAUAUAGCUACGUGGAAAUAAAUAUAUCUCAAAAAAGGAAA
rnacentral:lncRNA from 1 species